rnacentral:rRNA from 1 species
GACGAACGCUGGCGGCGUGCUUAACACAUGCAAGUCGAACGGUAAGGCCCUUCGGGGUACACGAGUGGCGAACGGGUGAGUAACACGUGGGUGGUCUGCCCUGCACUUCGGGAUAAGCCUGGGAAACUGGGUCUAAUACCGGAUAGGACCACUGCCUGCAUGGGUGGUGGUGGGAAGCUUUUGCGGUGUGGGAUGGGCCCGCGGCCUAUCAGCUUGUUGGGGGGGUGAUGGCCUACCAAGGCGACGACGGGUAGCCGGCCUGAGAGGGUGACCGUCCACACUGGGACUGAGAUACGGCCCAGACUCCUACGGGAGGCAGCAGUGGGGAAUAUUGCACAAUGGGCGCAAGCCUGAUGCAGCGACGCCGCGUGAGGGAUGACGGCCUUCGGGUUGUAAACCUCUUUCAGCACCGACGAAGCGCAAGUGACGGUAGGUGCAGAAGAAGGACCGGCCAACUACGUGCCAGCCGCCGCGGUAA